rnacentral:rRNA from 12 species
GGAUGCUAUCAUACCAGCACUAAAGCACCGGAUCCCAUCCGAACUCCAAAGUUAAGCGUGCUUGGGCGAAGUAGUAUUAGAUAAGUACCUCCUGGAAAGUCCUCGUGUUGCAUUCC